rnacentral:rRNA from 1 species
AUUGAACGCUGGCGGCAUGCCUUACACAUGCAAGUCGAACGGCAGCACGGGGCAACCUGGUGGCGAGUGGCGAACGGGUGAGUAAUGCAUCGGAACGUACCUUUCAGUGGGGGAUAACGUAGCGAAAGUUACACUAAUACCGCAUAUUCUGUGAGCAGGAAAGCAGGGGAUCGCAAGACCCUGCGCUGAUUGAGCGGCCGAGGUCAGAUUAGCUAGUUGGGGAGGUAAAGGUGAACCAAGGCGACGAUCUGUAGCGGGUCUGAGAGGAUGAUCCGCCACACUGGAACUGAGACACGGUCCAGACUCCUACGGGAGGCAGCAGUGGGGAAUUUUGGACAAUGGGGGCAACCCUGAUCCAGCCAUGCCGCGUGAGUGAAGAAGGCCUUCGGAUUGUAAAGCUCUUUCGGCCGGGAAGAAAUCGCACGGGCUAAUACCCUGUGUGGAUGACGGUACCGGAAUAAGAAGCACCGGCUAACUACGUGCCAGCCGCCGCGGUAAAAC